rnacentral:rRNA from 1 species
CAGUCGAGCGGACAGAUGGGAGCUUGCUCCCUGAAGUCAGCGGCGGACGGGUGAGUAACACGUGGGCAACCUGCCUGUAAGACUGGGAUAACUUCGGGAAACCGGAGCUAAUACCGGAUAAUGCUUUUGGACUCAUGUCCUUAAGCUGAAAGAUGGUUUCGGCUAUCACUUACAGAUGGGCCCGCGGCGCAUUAGCUAGUUGGUGAGGUAACGGCUCACCAAGGCAACGAUGCGUAGCCGACCUGAGAGGGUGAUCGGCCACACUGGGACUGAGACACGGCCCAGACUCCUACGGGAGGCAGCAGUAGGGAAUCUUCCGCAAUGGACGAAAGUCUGACGGAGCAACGCCGCGUGAGUGAUGAAGGUUUUCGGAUCGUAAAACUCUGUUGUUAGGGAAGAACAAGUAUCGGAGUAACUGCCGGUACCUUGACGGUACCUAACCAGAAAGCCACGGCUAACUACGUGCCAGCAGCCGCGGUAAUACGUANGUGGCAAGCGUUGUCCGGAAUUAUUGGGCGUAAAGCGCGCGCAGGCGGUCCUUUAAGUCUGAUGUGAAAGCCCACGGC